rnacentral:rRNA from 1 species
GACGAACGCUGGCGGCGUGCUUAACACAUGCAAGUCGAACGAUGAAGCGGUGCUUGCACCGUGGAUGAGUGGCGAACGGGUGAGUAAUGCGUGAGUGACCUGCCCCCUUCUUCGGGAUAAGCCUUGGAAACGGGGUCUAAUACCGGAUAUUCCCUUCCUUCUGCAUGGUUGGUUGGGGAAAGUUUUUUCGGUGGGGGAUGGGCUCGCGUCCUAUCAGCUUGUUGGUGGGGUGAUGGCCUACCAAGGCGUCGACGGGUAGCCGGCCUGAGAGGGUGACCGGCCACACUGGGACUGAGAUACGGCCCAGACUCCUACGGGAGGCAGCAGUGGGGGAUAUUGCACAAUGGGCGCAAGCCUGAUGCAGCGACGCCGCGUGAGGGAUGACGGCUUUCGGGUUGUAAACCUCUUUUACUAUUGAACAAGGCGCCAUAUUGGUGGUGUUGAGGGUAGGUGGUGAAUAAGCGCCGGCUAACUACGUG